rnacentral:rRNA from 1 species
UACGUAGGCAGCAAGCGUUGUUCGGAGUUACUGGGCGUAAAGAGCAUGUAGGCGGUUUGGCGCGUUUGGUGUGAAAUCUCCCGGCUUAACUGGGAGGGUGCGCUAAAGACUGCCUGGCUCGAGUGUGGGAGAGGAGAGCGGAAUUCCUGGUGUAGCGGUGAAAUGCGUAGAUAUCAGGAGGAACACCUGCGGUGUAGACGGCUUUCUGGACCAUAACUGACGCUGAGAUACGAAAGCGUGGGUAGCAAACAGG